rnacentral:rRNA from 1 species
GAUGAACGCUGGCGGCGUGCUUAACACAUGCAAGUCGAACGUGAGAGAGUAGCAAUAUUCUUGAAAGUGGCGCACGGGUGAGUAAUACGUAGGUAACCUGCCCUGGAGUGGGGGAUAACAACUGGAAACGGUUGCUAACACCGCAUAAUACCGGAUGUCUGGGAAGACGACUGGUAAAAACUCUGGUGCUUCAGGAGGGGCCUGCGGCCGAUUAGCUAGUUGGCGGGGUAAGAGCCCCACCAAGGCAUUGAUCGGUAGCUGGUCUGAGAGGACGAUCAGCCACACGGGAACUGAGACACGGUCUCGACUCCUACGGGGGGGCAGCAGUGAGGAAUAUUGGGCAAUGGGCGAAGCCUGACCCAGCAACGCCGCGUGGAGGAAGACGG